rnacentral:lncRNA from 1 species
UUGUCAUUAUAAACAGCCACAGUUCAGCCUCAGCUAUCCCCCUUCGUCCACCAUCGUCACGAUACAGGAUGCGAGGCAAGGCACUGCACUUGAGUGAUCCUUGAUGUGGACCUCAAGGAGAGCAUGUCCUAUUGCAUGCGGGUUAGACGCGUCCACGCCCCGCCCCACGAAAAAAGGCGUCGGCUGAUAUGGCCUCAGAUCUGGGGAAGGGCCCUCCUUGGGACUGAGCCAUACUAUGCAGCCACUUCUGCACAGUGGGAUAGGACCUCUACUCUCGCCUGUAUUGUUUUAAUAAAACAAAAAAGGG